rnacentral:piRNA from 1 species
UAGCAGGAAUGCAUCAUGACUUCAC